CGUAGUUGGAUUUCUGGUACAAUGCACCUGGCCCGCGGCCUCUUAGGCUUAUGUAUUCAUAGCAAAAGCCUGCUUUAAACAGGGCAGGCCUGUUUUCUAGAAGGAUGGUAAACGCGCGCCGGCACUCACUAGCAUGGAAUAAUAAUCUAGGACUUCGGUUCUAUUUUGUUGUUUCAAAAACUGAAGUAAUGAGUUGGGGAUGCACCAAGGAUGUCUUCUUCUGUCUCUUAUACACAUCUCCGAGCCCACGAGACUGCUCA
rnacentral:rRNA from 1 species